rnacentral:rRNA from 1 species
CAGUCGCCACGGGAAUACGAUGGGUGCAAGCGUUGAUCGGAAUUACUGGGCGUAAAGCGUGCGUAGGCGGUGAGUUAAGUCUGCUGUGAAAUCCCCGGGCUCAACCUGGGAAUGGCAGUGGAUACUGGCUCGCUAGAGUGUGUCAGAGGAUGGUGGAAUUCCCGGUGUAGCGGUGAAAUGCGUAGAGAUCGGGAGGAACAUCAGUGGCGAAGGCGGCCAUCUGGGACAACACUGACGCUGAGGCACGAAAGCGUGGGGAGCAAACAGGAUUAGAUACCCGCGUAGUCCCUGUCUCUUAUAC